AAAAAUUGAAAGUGGACAAACAAAGCAACAUUCAACGCCCAGCUCUCUGUCCAGUUGCUUUAUGGACCAAGCCUGAUAACAACAUACCGAACGAGUUGAAAGUUAUUCUGCCAAAAUAAGGAUCUGGCCUCCAGAACGCAUGUAGCCAAGACCACCUGAGGGUCUAUCUGUCAGCAUAAUGUCCACGGAGCUGGCUGCAGGUGACACUGAACUUGGCCUAAAGCGAGCUCUGCUGGUGGCUGGUGGCGGGAGGAUGCAGAUUUAUCUUGCUGCUAUGGCUGACCUCGCGGUGAACCGCGCACGGGGGACGGUUCGUUUUUUUCUGCCUGGCAUUGUCUGCCUAGGACCCCGAUUUUGAUUUUUGUAUUGUGUAACAACGGUAUAAUUUUCGCCCCAGACGUCAGAAUGAUAUUGGCAUAGAAAAACGGUUUCUUUUUCAUUUUCUACACCAUAUAACUGUAAUGGAAAUGAAGUCAAAUGUCAUUGCAUUGGCUAUUUGUUUACACGAUGGAGUCUUCUAUGUCGACUGUUAGGGGAAGGGGGAGCGGGGAUCAACCCACCUCAACUCAUCAGAUGAUUUAGAUUUUCAAUUCCAUCUAUGUACUGACAUAUUAUACUUUGAGGGUUUAGUUUCUAUAUAAACCCUUUUCAUUUCAAUUCGUUUUCUGAUGUGAAAUAGAUUCAAAUUGAAUUCACACCACUGACGGGGAAAGUUAUGAGGUGCCUGUAAGCACCAGUUUCAGUCUAAUUGGGCGUAAUUGCAAUCUGUGUACAUACAUAAGAGCAACACACAACAAUGGAAAUUGAGUCAGAAAUCCAGAAUUUCGAACACACCAAAGCCCUGUUAUACACAACAAAUAGACCACGCCCAUACUAGCCACUAAUCAGCACACACCUUAUCGCAAAGUAAAAUACAACCAAGACUCGCCACAAGUAGGCCUAAACAAAAUCUACAGUAUAUCAAAAUGAAAAGGUAAUUAGGCUAUAACCUACGUAAUAAGAAAUGAUGAUGCAGAGACAUUUUUCUAGAAAACGAAAAGAUACCCAAUCUAAAGGAAACUAUUGUGAUUGGGCAAAUACGUCACAAAGUCAGACCAACGCGUGUGACGCAUUUUUACAUACAAGUCAAAGCUUUGUUGGAGAUACUGGUAUCUGAGUGUUCAUGUCGGCCCGGACGCACGCGCCCAAGCUGGGCCAUGAGGUCACCAUGAAGCAAGAGUGACACUGUCCAACUGAACUUUACAACCCAAAGACACACAUGGCUGACGCAAAACGGAAUUCCUUUCCAAGUGUGGCCCUGCUGUGUUUUGUCCUCUAUUGUGUUUACUCUACAGUGUGUUUGGCUGUCUUAAACCAUUUGAACAAGUUUUGAACACAUGAGGAAACCUGACCAAAGACACAGAGCUUCAAACAAAGUGUACAAGUUGUGCCUAACUUAACAAUUACACCCAUUGAAAAGCUAAAUUUACUCCAAAAGUGGUUGUAUGAUAGUUGAGUACUGUACACAAACAUAUUCCAGUUUAGCAAUGACAUUGGAAACACCAUAAAACAGCUCAAAUAGCCUAUUGGCUUGUCCAGCACAUUAAUGGCUAUGAAGAGUCCAAAGAAGCCCCGUGUGUAAUACGGGAAGUGAAAAACCACGAAUUAAAAAGGAAAGGAAUGGACAGAAGCAUAAUUAUCCCACAUGCAAAAAUGUAUUAUGAGUUACACCACAGAUGGAGGGAAACUAGUUACACUAGGAAGGAAGCAAUUAAAUAUCCAUGAGCCUGAACCAACCCUGGACAACAUCUGCCGAGCGAUACCAGGAUUCAGCUCAGCACCACUGACAAAUUAGCCUAAUGGGCUAAUAUGGACAGAUAGCGCGUCCGAAUACAAUCAUAAUUCUGUUUCAAACAGGGUGGCUGUUCAGAGCCAAGGGAACGGAAGGCUACAGGCUACUCAAGGGCAAUAGAGGCAGAAACUUACUUCGAGACCGGAGCUGUCUUCUCGUGUGUGUCCGGCGUGCAGGGUCCAUCGCGAGGUGUUCUGGUGAGCAAGGAGUGGGUGUAACGGUCAAGGAACACUUACAGCCUGCAAGGAGAGAGUCAGACGAAGCCUCGCGUCAGUGCGAUUAUAUGUUAUGUGCAAUAUACUGUCAACUCCCCAAAACCAUAAAACUUACUUUAAUGGCCACCACGUGACCGUUUAUGGCCAGUGAGCCUAUCUGGCCGCGCUCCGGAUGAUUUUUACGAUCUAAUUCAUAGACAAAACCCCCAUUCAUUUGGCACCCAAAUGUCAGGGAGCCGGAACCGGCUUAAUAAAGUUUACGUUUCGAAAAGUGAACUGAUUCUCUGAUAGCAGUAAGCUCGAGCACAUGGGACGCAGAGCCCCUCGAGCCGGUCACUGGCAAGGACCCGCUUUAUUACUACGCACAAAGGUCUCAUGGUGCGUGGGGAUGUUACGAGAAGAGGACGGACAGGUGCAGUUGGUCGAAGGUAGACCGGGAAAGAUCCCUUGUUGUGCCAGUUGUGUCCCUGGACGAAUCCACGAGCUCCCG